UACGGAGGGGGCGAGCGUUAUUCGGAAUUAUUGGGCGUAAAGGGCGCGUAGGCGGCCUGGUAAGUCGGGUGUGAAAUCUCGGAGCUUAACUCCGAAACUGCAUUCGAUACUGCCGUGCUUGAGGACUGGAGAGGAGACUGGAAUUUACGGUGUAGCGGUGAAAUGCGUAGAUAUCGUAAGGAAGACCAGUGGCGAAGGCGGGUCUCUGGACAGUUCCUGACGCUGAGGCACGAAGGUCAGGGGAGCAAACGGG
rnacentral:rRNA from 1 species